UACGAAGGGGGCUAGCGUUGCUCGGAAUCACUGGGCGUAAAGGGUGCGUAGGCGGGUUUUUAAGUCAGAGGUGAAAUCCUGGAGCUCAACUCCAGAACUGCCUUUGAUACUGAGAGUCUCGAGUCCGGGAGAGGUGAGUGGAACUGCGAGUGUAGAGGUGAAAUUCGUAGAUAUCGGAAGGAACAUCAGUGGCGAAAGCGGCUUCCUGGACCAGUACCGACGUCAGGCACGAAAGCGUGGGGAGCAAACAGG
rnacentral:rRNA from 1 species